UCCGAUAUGGCCGAGUGGUUUAAGGCGACACGCUUAAGACGUGUUGUGCGUAAGCACGCGUGGGUUCGAACCCCACUGUCGGAA